rnacentral:lncRNA from 1 species
UUGAGUCGACGCAUUCCAAUGUUACGUUGUAGCUUUGCAAAUGUUGAAUUCGGUAACGAUUUUGUGAAUAAGUCUGCAAGGUUGUCACAUGAUUGAAUUUGUUGUACAUCAAUUUCACCAUUCUUUUGAAGCUCGUGAGUAUAAAAGAAUUUCGGUGAAAUGUGUNUUUUGUGAAUAAGUCUGCAAGGUUGUCACAUGAUUGAAUUUGUUGUACAUCAAUUUCACCAUUCUUUUGAAGCUCGUGAGUAUAAAAGAAUUUCGGUGAAAUGUGUUUCGUCCUGUCUCCUUUGAUAUAUCCCUCUUUGAGUUGAUCAAUGCAUGCAGUGUUAUCUUCAAACAUAACAGUAGGACUUCUCGUGAUAUCCGGUAAUCCACACGAUUCUUGAAUAUUCUUGAUAAUAGAUCGCAACCAAACACAUUCUCUACUAGCUUCGUAUAUUGCAAUUAGUUCUGAAUGAUUUGUCGAGGUUGCCACUGUAGUUUGCUUCGUGGAUUUCCAGGAAAUGGCUGUACCGCAAUAUGUGAAUACAUAUCCAGUUUGUGAUUUGCCAAAAUGUGGAUCUGAUAGAUAUCCAGCAUGUGCAUAUCCAAUCAACUGAGAUGUCGAGUUUUCCGGAAAGAAUAACCCAAAAUCAAUUGUUCCACGAAGAUAACGAAAUAUAUGCUUGAUCCCAUUC